GGGGAAUAUUGGACAAUGGGCGCAAGCCUGAUCCAGCCAUGCCGCGUGAGUGAAGAAGGCCUUAGGGUUGUAAAGCUCUUUCACCGGUGAAGAUAAUGACGGUAACCGGAUAAGAAGCCCCGGCUAACUUCGUGCCAGCAGCCGCGGUAAUACGAAGGGGGCUAGCGUUGUUCGGAAUUACUGGGCGUAAAGCGCAUGUAGGCGGGCUAUUAAGUUAGGGGUGAAAUCCCGGGGCUCAACCCCGGAACAGCCUUUAAGACUGGUAGUCUUGAGUAUGGAAGAGGUGAGUGGAAUUCCGAGUGUAGAGGUGAAAUUCGUAGAUAUUCGGAGGAACACCAGUGGCGAAGGCGGCUCACUGGUCCAUUACUGACGCUGAGAUGCGAAAGCGUGGGGAGCAAAC
rnacentral:rRNA from 1 species